rnacentral:rRNA from 1 species
GAUGAACGCUGGCGGCGUGCUUAACACAUGCAAGUCGAACGAGAGGUGAAGACGGAAACCUUCGGGCGGAAGGCUUUAUUUCGAGUGGCGGACGGGUGAGUAACGCGUGGGUAACCUGCCUCAUACAGGGGGAUAACAGUUGGAAACGACGGUUAAUACCGCAUAAGACCACAGCACCGCAUGGUGCGGGGGUAAAAACUCCGGUGGUAUGAGAUGGACCCGCGUUCGAUUAGCCAGUUGGCGGGGUAACGGCCCACCAAAGCGACGAUCGAUAGCCGAUCUGAGAGGAUGACCGGCCACAUUGGGACUGAGACACGGCCCAAACUCCUACGGGAGGCAGCAGUGGGGAAUAUUGCACAAUGGGGGAAACCCUGAUGCAGCGACGCCGCGUGAGUGAAGAAGUAUUUCGGUAUGUAAAGCUCUAUCAGCAGGGAAGAAAAUGACGGUACCUGAGUAAGAAGCCCCGGCUAACUACGUG